UGUAUGUAUAUACGCUAUCUCUGUAUAUCCCAAUUUGCCUACGUCAAAGAUGUUCAAUUUCGUAAUAAAGGUUUGAAAAGAGAGACUACCGUAACUUGGGUGAUAAAAAGAAUAAAUAAAUAAAUCUAACAUGCGGCUUUUUUAAAGUAAACAACAAAAUCUUUAUCCAAAGAUCAAAAAUUCAAUAUUGAAUUGUUUGUAAUCAUGUAAAUAAAAAUCAAUAGGAAUAAAAUGAUGGUCGUUGUUGUUUUGGAACUGUUCUUGUCAAUUCCAUUAAAAGUAACUUAAAACAAAUGCCUGUUAUUUUGAACUUACACAAAAAAUAGAUCAACAUUCAAAUCUGUUUAUGUUAUAUUUAACACCCAAAAUCUGCCCAUUAGAUACUUGUUUUGAACUUUUUUAACAAACUACUAUUUUAACAGUUGCACAAAUACCAUCACAGAAAGAUUUGUCAUUGCUGGUAGCAAAAAAUACUCAUUCAUCAUUUAAAUCAAAGUCUAUGCUGUGAUAAGAUAAAUUGAAGGAUAAGUUUUGAAAGUUUUAAAGUUACAUUGCACAGCCAUCAGAAAAAUACUUCCCACGUGAUACAAAAAAACCAUGUGUCAUGAUUAUAUUCUUCUAAAAGGAAGGAGUCAGAAAUUGCGAUCCUGGAGAUUAUCCCAUAGAUAUUCAGCAAGCUUUGGAAAGAUCUAUAGAGUUUUAUAAAGGCUGCUAAUGGCAGAGAGUUUAAUGACUAGACUGCAUUUAGUAACCAUGGUAAUGCUCAUGUUUUUCUUUGAAAAUUUGAAAUAGCUGUUCAAUAUUACUAGUGAGAAAAUUUUAAACAUAAAUUUUUAUCAGAGUUUGAAAUCUUCUUAAUUAAUGAUGUAAUGGUGUAGUGAUUUGUAAGUGAGAGGUUAUGAGUUUGAUUUCCACCAUGUUCCUGGUUACACUACAAUCAGCUAUAGUUGAAAAAGAAGUCUAUAUUUUAUAAACAAAUUUUUUUUUUACAAGCUGUAGGUUUUUAUUUAAUAUUUAAUGCGUAAUUUUAAUUUUUAUCACAGGUUGUUUUGUACUCAUGGUAACAUAAGUACAAAAAGUUAUGGUAACAUAAGUAAAAGAACCAAAAUUUAAGCAUACCAGUAGUUACAUAUAAGAACUAAAAUUUAAAAUAUUUAUGCACAUAAAUUUGCUGUAUGGUCACAAACAAUCAAUCAACACUUAAGGGAAAAAUAAGGUACAUUAGAAUAAAAGGGAUUUAUUUUUCAAACAAAGCAUAUUUUGUUGGUUGUCAAGACAAAAAUAAAGAUUAUUAGAUGAAUAUUCAAAAAUAUACAAGUACCAUGGCAACAAUAAGACAGACAAUGCUCUCAAACAGUACUUACAAUUAAAUUUUUUAUUAUUUUUUUUCAAACAAAAAUAAACAGAUAUACAACAAAUAUCACCAAACCACAACUUAUAAAACAAAAAAUUUAAUACAAAAUAAAAAGUAUGUGUACAAAUAUUUAAAGCCUAAGAAUGAAAAAAAUUAAUAAAUAAAUCAUUUACCACACCACUGGUAGAAAACAUGAACUCACAAUAAAUUAAAAUUCUAAUGAAAACACCAAAGCAAAACUAAAAUAACUCAAGUAUGUAAACAAAACUAAUAAUAAAUUUCUCUCUAAGACAAUUAAAACCAAAUAUGUGCUUCCAGCAUAAGUAAACCAAAGACAAUAAAAUUGCAAUAUACCCUAUUAAAAACCCUUUCAUAAUAAAUAAAACACAAUAAGUCUUAUAAAGUCAAUAAAUUCUGCAAUUCCUUCUUCAGAUGUCAGUGUUGAUGGGUACUAUC
rnacentral:misc_RNA from 1 species